GACUCUCAACCACUGCACCACCAGGGAAGCCCUAAGUCUGAAAAAAAGUUUUAAGAAAAAUAUUAUCCCACAGUCAUAUUGUUUAUGGUUUCUGCAGCAUACUUUAAAAGGCCUUCCUCUCUCUGAGUUUGCUCUUUUAAAAAAACUGCCCAAUUUUUAAAGGUACAUUUAUAGUUUUUUUUUUCUUUAAAUCUUUCAUAUAGAAUUAAUUGGGGGGAAGGUGUGAGGUAGGGAUCCAGUUUUUCUUUCCAAAUGGCUGCCCAGUUGUCCUAAUAUUUUUGCUCUCUGAUCAGAAAUGCCACCUAUAAGAUAUAAUAAAUUCCCACAUACUUUGGUGUUUAUUUCUGAACCUUUUCUCCUUUUCCAUUGUUCUGUCUCUCUCCUAUGUUCCACAUUAAUUUCAUUACUCAAACUUUACGUUUUGUUUUCAUAGUUGGUUGGAUGAAUUGCCCCUCAUUACUUAUAUUUUCUGACGUUUUGGCUUUGAACAGUGGCAGACUCUUGGCAUAUUAACACCUUUCUGACUAGAGAAGUGUUGCCAUUUGACUUUCCAACUGGUGCUGUAAUAGCAUGGCUAGCUCACUACACUUCUGUGAGCACUAAGUAUUUUGGGGUUCUUAAAAGUUCCAUUUCAUAUUUCAAAAGUGGUGAAUACUUCAUUUUUCCUGUGUUUAUGGUAUUGUGGUAUUCCUUCUGUGAAUCAUCAGGUCAGGACUUUUGCCCAUUUUUAUAUUAUAUGUCCACCUUUUUCUUAAACUUUUAAAAGAUGGUCAUAUAGUAAGGUUAUAAAAGGAAACUUAGAAAAAUAUUCUCAUAUAUUCACAACACAGUUCUUUUCCCUUUAUUUUUUUUUUAAAGAUUUUUUACAAUGUGAACCUUUUUUUUUAAAGUCUUUAUUGAAUUGGUUACAAUACUGCUUCUGUUUUAUGUUUUUGGUUUUUUGGCCACGAGGCAUGUGGGAUCUUAGCUCCUCGACCAGGGAUAGAACAUGCACCCCCUUCACUGGAAGGUGAAGUCUUAACCACUGUACCGCCAGAUCUCAGAAAGCCUGGUCAGCUGCGCAGAAGAAACUUUGAAGGAUGCCUGCAAAUGUAGGAGAGCUGCAACAAAGCCAGAUUCGUUGUAUCAAUAAUUGGACCACACGUGACCUACACAUGAGGAGGGUCGAUAUCUUCACAAUAUUACUCCUGCUUGCCAGGAAAAUGCAAUUCUCCUUCUGCUCUCCUGCAGGAAUCACAAGUAUUAUGGUUUUCUCUACCCGGUCACAAACAUCCUGCAUUGAGUUUAUUCCAAAGUACUUACUAUAUUUUGUUACUGUGAAUGGGCUCUCCUUAGCUGUGGAUUUUCUAACUGGCGAAGCCUGGUAUUCAUCUAGCAUCCCGUGCAUGCAUCGGGGCCCACCUGGAGGAGUGGACAGAUUUGACAAAAGACGGUGGAAGGAAGGGCAUUUAGGGGGCCAGACUUGUCCUGGAACACACUUCCCACCUGGCCACCUACCUGAGCUUAACGUAGCCUUUGGGACUCACCUGGUAAAUUCACCUUUGGGUUUUUGGAGUUUUUUUACCUUUGUUUUAAUCCAAGUUUUAAAAUUUGUUUGCAUAGAUUAUACAGACAAUUCUGUAAUCAUUCUCUUACUUUAGCUUUUAUAGAUCCAUUUUUGUAUAUAACUCUUGGAUCCAUAUGGAAUUUCUUUGCAUGUGAAGAAUAAGGUAAUGUCACAGGGGAGAACAAAAUCUGGCUACAUGUUAGAUCUGUUUCUUUUACUCCCGUUGCUUUUGUUCACUAAAAGGAUACUGUUUAUACGUAAUGGCCUGCCUUGGGGAGCCCUGCCCCUCUGCCUGAAUGUUAAACCAAAGUGCCUUUGUUCAGGGGAACAUCCGGACCCUGUCCACCUAUAGAUGGCUGCAAGAAAGAAGAA